UACGCCGGGUGCCCGCUUUACUCUUAAUUACUGGGCGUAAAGCGUGCGUAGGUGGUUUUUUAAGUCCGUUGUGAAAGCCCUGGGCUCAACCUGGGAAUGGCAGUGGAUACUGGAAAGCUAGAGUGCGGUAGAGGGUAGUGGAGUUCCCGGUGUAGCAGUGAAAUGCGUAGAGAUCGGGAGGAACACCAGUGGCGAAGGCGGCUACCUGGACCAGCACUGACACUGAGGCACGAAAGCGUGGGGAGCAAACAGG
rnacentral:rRNA from 1 species